GCUUUUUUUUACAUUGUUUGUGAUUGAUUCAAUGUAAAAGGGUCGUUCCACUAAAUGGGUUUCUUCUACGUCCCUUUGAUAUUUUAAGUAGAAAUGAUGCACCAAUAUUGAAUUUUAAAAGCCUGUUAUACUAGAUCAAGUGCACUUUAAUAUAGAUCACGUGGGGAAUUCAAUAAAAAAUAAUUUAAAAGUCCUAAAAAUAUGUACCAAUGGCAGAUUGGCCCUUAAACAAUUCCGACAGUGUAGAACUGAGGUAGAAUGCCCCUUUAAAACAACACAUUAUUUCAAGAACUGCAUAGUGCCCCUGUUAUUAAGACAGUACUCACUGGUGGUAAUCCGAUCUUCAGCCUCCUCCUCCUUUUUCACUUCCAAAACGUCUUCCUCCUCUUUUAUUGAGAUAACCUCCUCUUCCUCUUUUACUCCAAAAGGUUCUUCCUCUUCUUUCAAUGUUACCGCAUCUUCCUCCUUUUUGAUUCUGAAAGCUUCUACCUCCUCCUUUUCCACUCUGACAACCUCUUUCCCAUCUUUCUCUUUCACUGUAAUAUCAUCCUCUUCUUCUUUUAAUGUGAUAGCCUCCUCUUCCUCCUUUUUCAUUCUGAAAGCUUCUUCCUCUCCUUUCACCAGAGUUUAUUUCUCCGUCGAGUUUAGUGAGCUCAUGUUCCAGGCGAUUGGCCUAGUGCAGUAUCAAUGUAACACAUAUGCUAAUUUAACAAACAAAUUACGUUUAAAUUAACUAGAUGAUAGGUAAACAAAAUUAUGUUCAAAACACAAAGAGUAAUAUACACAAGGCUGGUCUUAAACGCUUCAAUGUUUCGGUUUUAUUUUCGAUUGCAAGCUACCGCGUAGUUGAAUCUGUUGUCGUUGUUGAAGAAACCUCCCGUCCAUUAGAUUACACGUCACGCAAGAAGCAUCACCUGAAGUACUCACAUCACCAUCUCAGGGGAGCCAAGAUGGGGUCGCUGUGAGAGGGAGUGUUUUCUCGCUCGUCUAAGCAACAUUGAGGGUUAGGUGGUUAACAGUCUAAUAUUGGCUAUCAAUUUUGAAAUAAACUAACCAUAACUUGUUUUAGCAACAUAGGAUAAGUUUAGAGUUCGUUUUUGUAAAGUUGAAUGGGAAGAACACGACAGAAAGACAAUAGUAGACGGAAUAUCCAAGUCUCACAGAAGACGGCAGACAUGCUAGCUAGCCACAACGAGAACCAGAUCAGCAUGGAUACUCAAUAAGCCUCGACCUCAAGCAAGAGAAAGAACAAAACUGACCAGGAUGAAAUCCUUGCAACCUCUUUACCCCAGACCCCAAUUAAAAAUCCACCGGUGAAAAAAGUAAGAGGCCAUUUCCAUGUCUGAACUUUUCUCUGCAAUCCAGUCCCUGUCUACUAAAAUAGACGCCACGCUCUCCAAAGUGUCCACCAUAGAGCGGGCUACCGAAGAAACUUCAAAUCUGAUCGAUAAUUUGGAAAAGAUAACGUUCCUAGAGAAUGAGUUGAAGAAACUGCAAUCCCAAAAUAAUGAGCUGUGUGAGAAUGUAGCUGAACGUCAAAGGUACUGUCGCAGGUGGAAUCUGAAAAUCCAAGGUGUAAAAGAGGUAGAGGGAGAGGAUAUUAGGGAAGCGGUCAUUCAUAUCCUGGGAAAGGUGGCUUCGUGCAUCAAAUACAGGCUAAGAGAUGUGAUUGUGGUACAUCGACUUGGGAAACGAAGAUCUGAUGGACCCCCUCGCAAUAUCAUAUUGCGCUUAACUCUGCGCCAUUACAGGGACAUCAUCUGGAGAAUGGCCAAAGGGAACACGUUUCUGGACGAGAAGUAGCUCCGCAUCAAAGCAGCUCUGAUACCGCAGGAUCAGACUGCCAGGGAGAAACUGUGGCCUCUUAUACAGAAGGCACGACAAGAGGGAAAGAAGGCUGGGUACAAGGGCCCACACACGUUUAUCGAAGGAAGAAUGAUUACUGGGUAACUCUGUUGACAUUAACCAAACUGGAACUGAAUCUCAUUCGGGUGAAAGUGAUUUGAAAUUUUGGAAAUCACAAUGGGGAGAUAUGGCCUAUUUCAGUCAUGGAUCAAGUCAUUCUGCUGGUGUUUUGACACUUAUUCACAAGUUUAAAGGUGACGUUCGAGAAUCCACAUCUUCACAAGAUGGGAGAUGGGUCAUAGUAACUGUUAAACUUGACUGCUAUUUUCAUAAUUUGUAAUGUGUAUGGACAUAACUCACAUUCUCCAAAUAAAACCCUUUUUACCCAAUUUACCAGGAAAGUACAGGAUUUAAGCAACAAAUACUCAGAGGCUUUUCUAAUUAUUUCAGGGGAUUUUAAUGAAAGACCUGAUGCAUCUGCUGAUCAUUUUCCUCCUAGAACGAGUCAAAGCCCUCAAAAUAGCAAUAUUAUCACUACAUUAUGCAAGGAUCUCUGUGUUGAGGAUGCCUGGCGUUAUUUCAAUCCAGAUGCAAAGGGUUAUACCUGGACCAACAAAACUAUGUCACGUAAAUCUAGAAUAGAUUUAUUCCUAAUUUCCCCCUUUUUGUUACAAUUUGUUAUAGAUGUAGAUCAUCAGUUGGCUCCCUUUUCUGAUCAUCAUUUGAUUUCCCUGAAUUUACAAGCUACUAAAAAAUCAAAAGGUACUCGAGGAUAUUGGAAAUUAAACAAAACACUUCUUAAAGAUACAACUCUUAUUGAAAACAUCAAAUCGUUAGCUAAAGAUAUUUUUGCAAGAAAAGACUUGGAAGUAGUUUGGAAUUUUUCAAAUAUAAAGUCAGUGGUAGCCAUUAAACGCGCCAAAGAGCUGAUGCAAUUAAAGAACCUUAAAGAAAAGGAGAUGAUGAGCAAGCCAGACAGAUUAUCUUUCUUUAGAAAACUAUCUGAAGAAGAGGAGUCUGUAUUCAAGUCUUUAGAACAGCUUUACACGGAUCUGGCAAAGGGUGUCUUCGUAAGGUCAAGAGCAAAAUGGAUUGAAGAGGAGGAAAGAAACACUAGUUACUUUUUUGCACUUGAAAAGAGAAACUACAAAAGAAAAUCU
rnacentral:lncRNA from 1 species